GAUGAACGCUGGCGGCGUGCCUAAUACAUGCAAGUCGAGCGAACAGACGAGGAGCUUGCUCCUUCGACGUUAGCGGCGGACGGGUGAGUAACACGUAGGUAACCUACCUAUAAGACUGGGAUAACUUCGGGAAACCGGAGCUAAUACCGGAUAAUAUUUCGAACCGCAUGGUUCGAUAGUGAAAGAUGGCUUUGCUAUCACUUAUAGAUGGACCUGCGCCGCAUUAGCUAGUUGGUAAGGUAACGGCUUACCAAGGCAACGAUACGUAGCCGACCUGAGAGGGUGAUCGGCCACACUGGAACUGAGACACGGUCCAGACUCCUACGGGAGGCAGCAGUAGGGAAUCUUCCGCAAUGGGCGAAAGCCUGACGGAGCAACGCCGCGUGAGUGAUGAAGGUCUUCGGAUCGUAAAACUCUGUUAUUAGGGAAGAACAAACGUGUAAGUAACUGAGCACGUCUUGACGGUACCUAAUCAGAAAGCCACGGCUAACUACGUG
rnacentral:rRNA from 1 species